UGCCUGACACACAUAUACACUGCUCACUGUCUACAAAAACACAUAUCCAUUAUAUAGAGUAACUGGUCCUUAGCUAUCCAGGGUUUCCUUCUAGAUAGAACCAAAACCUUGGAUUCUUGAUGAGCAAACCUAGAUCUUUGUUAAACUUUGCUUGUUCAUAUGCUGAUAAAACAAAGCAAGAGCUACUCCAGUUACAGCUAAAAGCAAAUGAAAAUUUCCGGGUUAAUACUUAAUACACAAGAACAAGAACUGGAGGUGAUAAACAUAUAACAUACCAGUGCACCACACUCGGAUGAGAGACAUAUUGUGCAGAUGCUGGUUAAAGGGAUUGAAGCCUGGUCCGAGAUCACCAAGCAUCCUGUGCCUCCAUGAAUGAACAUUUUGCACAAUGUGGAGACCUUGAACCAGACAACAAUCCCCUUAACCUAACUUCAGCCUGGACAUGCCAUGCACUCCAAAACAAGAACUCCUAUCAAAAUCAAACUGAUUCAGAGAUGCCAAGAUGGAGUCCACCAUGGACAGUGGGGAAGAGGAAGAAGAAGAAGAAGACACGCCAAGAGAGGUAGCUACUGAUCGAGCCAUCAGUGCAGUAGAGCGCUGGUGUUUUUGAAGAGGGAGAGGAGGGCAGUUGGCGCAGCUCUUUGGGGAUGGGCCGCGCG
rnacentral:precursor_RNA from 1 species